CACGUAGUUAGCCGACGCUUCUUCCGCAGGUACACGUCAACUUCGUCCCUGCCGAAAGAGGUUUACACCCGAAGGCCUUCAUCCCCCACGCGGCGUCGCUGCGUCAGGCUUUCGCCCAUUGCGCAAUAUUCCCCACUGCUGCCUCCCGUAGGAGUCUGGGCCGUGUCUCAGUCCCAGUGUGGCCGGUCGCCCUCUCAGGCCGGCUACCCGUCGUCGCCUUGGUAGGCCGUUACCCCACCAACCAAGCUGAUAGGCCGCGAGCCCAUCCCUGACCGGAAGACCCAAACGAGCCAACCUUUCCACCCACCCCCAUGCGGAGGCAGGUCAUAUCCGGUAUUAGACCCGGUUUCCCAGGCUUAUCCCAGUGUCAGGGGCAGGUUGCUCACGUGUUACUCACCCGUUCGCCGCUCGAGUACCCCCGAAGGGGCCUUUCCGCUCGACUUGCAUGUGUUAAGCACGCCGCCAGCCGUUGUCCUGAGCCACGGAUCAAACUAC
rnacentral:rRNA from 1 species